rnacentral:rRNA from 1 species
GAUCCUGGCUCAGGAUGAAUGCUGGCGGCGUGCCUAACACAUGCAAGUCGAGCGGCAGCGCGAAUAGUUUACUAUUUGGCGGCGAGCGGCGGACGGCUGAGUAACGCGUGGGAAUCUACCCCAAAGUGAGGGAUAACUGCCCGAAAGGGUGGCUAAUACCGCAUAUGGUCUUCGGAUUAAAGGAUUUAUCUGCUUUGGGAGGAGCCCGCGUCGGAUUAGGUAGUUGGUAGGGUAAUGGCCUACAGCAACG